AGAGUUUGAUCCUGGCUCAGGAUGAACGCUAGCGGCAGGCUUAAUACAUGCAAGUCGAACGGGAACUGGGUAGCAAUACCUAGUUACAGUGGCGCACGGGUGCGUAACGCGUAUGCAACCUACCUUUAACAGGGGGAUAGCCCGGAGAAAUUCGGAUUAAUACCCCAUAGUAUUAUGGAGAGGCAUCUUUUCAUGAUUAAAGUUCCGGCGGUUAAAGAUGGGCAUGCGUGCCAUUAGCUAGUUGGUGAGGUAACGGCUCACCAAGGCGACGAUGGUUAGGGGUCCUGAGAGGGUUAUCCCCCACACUGGUACUGAGACACGGACCAGACUCCUAC
rnacentral:rRNA from 1 species